rnacentral:lncRNA from 1 species
AUCCCCGGAUUCGGCCCUGGCACGGAGUGGGCGCAGGGUUCCAGACCAGUAGCUAGAGGCCAUGGAUGGGGGCGGCCCCUAACUCUUCCCUUCUUCCGCCCUCACCCGCAGGGCCAUCUGGGGUCUCAGCUUUGCCCAGGAACUCGGAGGAGGGAAGCCGGGAACGUCGGGUCGGCGGAUCCGGGAGAACCUAAGUGACUUGUGCGAUUCCGUGGACCCUGGGGAGAAUGGUCCAUUCUGGGCAUACCUGGAGGCUCUGGCCAACAGUUCCCCCAGAAUUCUCCAGGUGGGGGCAGGGGAAGAGGCGGGCCCCGCCAACUCUUCAGCAACCCAAAAUCUUAACGGCAGACCCAGAACAGCAGGGUGUCCUUAAUGUCCCCAAGUAACCUGAAGAUGCUGUGUAGCCCGGAGAGGGGCUGAAGUGUGCAUGACUGGGGUCUGGUUUGGCUGUAGACCAAUCUGAACCCAAAGGUAGAAACACGCUGGGCUCUGAAAGCCAGGCUGAAGUCUGCUAACUGACAAAUUCAUCCCAAGUCCAUCUCCAGGCAGUCUGGGCUGUGUCAGGAUGCCUUCCUACAGGCCCUGCUGGAGAUGAUACAAACAACGGGAGGAAGAGAGGAGAGAUCCAAGAAUCAACACUCCUCCUGCUGCUCCAUCCAUCACUGCCCCUCACCUUCUGUGAAGGGCCCCAACACAAGCCCUGCUUCAUACCCUCUUCAAUCAGGACUCAAGUCACAGAAAGGUUACCUGAUUCUUUUAUUUAAGAAAAGUGAAAUACA